rnacentral:rRNA from 1 species
AUAUACAACCAUAGCACCCUGAGAACGCCCCAUCUCGUCUGAUCUGGGAAGCUAAGCAGGGUCGGGCCCGGUCAGUGCUUGGAUGGGAGACCAAUGGUACCUUGGUGCGGAUUAGA